rnacentral:rRNA from 1 species
AGAGUUUGAUCCUGGCUCAGGAUGAACGCUAGCUACAGGCUUAACACAUGCAAGUCGGAGGGGAAACGACAUACGAAAGCUUGUCUUUUGAGUGGGCGUCGACCGGCGCGACGGGUGAGUAACGCGUAUCCAACCUGCCCACCACUUGGGGAUAACCUUGCGAAAGUAAGACUAAUACCCAAUGAUAUCUCUAGAAGACAUCUGAAAGAGAUUAAAGAUUUAUCGGUGAUGGAUGGGGAUGCGUCUGAUUAGCUUGUUGGCGGGGUAACGGCCCACCAAGGCGACGAUCAGUAGGGGUUCUGAGAGGAAGGUCCCCCACAUUGGAACUGAGACACGGUCCAAACUCCUACGGGAGGCAGCA